UGUGAGUUUGAUCCUGGCUCAGAUUGAACGCUGGCGGCAGGCCUAACACAUGCAAGUCGAGCGGUAACAUUUCUAGCUUGCUAGAAGAUGACGAGCGGCGGACGGGUGAGUAAUGCUUGGGAACAUGCCUUGAGGUGGGGGACAACAGUUGGAAACGACUGCUAAUACCGCAUAAUGUCUACGGACCAAAGGGGGCUUCGGCUCUCGCCUUUAGAUUGGCCCAAGUGGGAUUAGCUAGUUGGUGAGGUAAUGGCUCACCAAGGCGACGAUCCCUAGCUGGUUUGAGAGGAUGAUCAGCCACACUGGGACUGAGACACGGCCCAGACUCCUACGGGAGGCAGCAGUGGGGAAUAUUGCACAAUGGGCGCAAGCCUGAUGCAGCCAUGCCGCGUGUGUGAAGAAGGCCUUCGGGUUGUAAAGCACUUUCAGUCAGGAGGAAAGGUUAGUAGUUAAUACCUGCUAGCUGUGACGUACGACAGAAGAGCCCGAUCCCC
rnacentral:rRNA from 1 species